rnacentral:rRNA from 1 species
CAGUAGCCGCGGGAAUACAGAGGGUGCGAGCGUUAAUCGGAUUUACUGGGCGUAAAGCGUGCGUAGGCGGCUUUUUAAGUCGGAUGUGAAAUCCCUGAGCUUAACUUAGGAAUUGCAUUCGAUACUGGGAAGCUAGAGUAUGGGAGAGGAUGGUAGAAUUCCAGGUGUAGCGGUGAAAUGCGUAGAGAUCUAGAGGAAUACCGAUGGCGAAGGCAGCCAUCUGGCCUAAUACUGACGCUGAGGUACGAAAGCAUGGGGAGCAAACAGGAUUAGAUACCCCGGUAGUCCCUGUCUCUUAUAC